CAAAAACCCUAAGAAACCUUCCAAGUCUUGCGAAGCUCUUGUUCUAUCUGUUAACAUUCGUCAAGCAAGAUGAGUCGUUCCAGCAGAACCCUCUAUGUCGGCAACCUUCCUGGUGACAUUCGUGAGCGGGAAGUGGAAGAUCUGUUUUACAAGUAUGGUGAGAUUGUGCAUGUGGAUCUGAAAAUGCCACCUAGGCCACCUGGUUAUGCAUUUGUUGAGUUUGAAGAAGCUCGUGACGCUGAAGAUGCCAUUCGGGGACGUGAUGGCUAUGAUUUUGAUGGGAAUCGCCUGCGGGUUGAGCUUGCACAUGGUGGUCGUGGCAAUUCAUCAACAACUGAUCGUCAUAGUAGCUUUAGCGGUAGUCGGGGUCCUCGUGGUGGUGUGUCCAAGCGCUCUGAAUAUAGAGUUUUAAUCACUGGACUGCCUCAUUCUGCUUCAUGGCAAGAUCUCAAGGAUCACAUGCGCCGAGCUGGAGAUGUUUGCUUCUCUCAGGUUUUUCAUGAAGGGAGUGGAAAAACAGGAAUAGUUGAUUAUACAAAUUAUGAUGACAUGAAAUAUGCUGUUAAGAAGCUUGAUGAUUCUGAGUUUAAAAAUGCCUUUUCCCGGGCUAGAGUUCAUGUUAAGGAGUAUGAUUCAAGCCAUUCUAGGAGUCGCAGUCGCAGUCGCAGCCUCAGCCCUUACCCAAAAGGAAGAAGCAAUGGUCGCAGCAGGAGCAGAAGUCCAGCUGGCCGUCGGAGUAGAAGUCCAGCUGGCCGUCGGAGCAGAAGCAGAAGCAAGUCACCCAAGGGCAAAUCGUCACGUCGCUCAAGAUCUCGUUCGAAGUCCGUGUCUUCUCGGUCUCGUUCUCGGUCAAAAGCUCGCUCUGCUUCAAGAAACAUGGAAUUACCUAUAUUUUGCACGAUCUGGGGAUUGGAUUUAGGAUCUUGUGGGUUGGCUACAACUCAGUUGGUUUUGGAGAUUGGACAAACAAAGAAGAUCACGGAUUACUAAUUAUGGAGCACCUUUUUGCGGUGGAAUUUGGAUACCUUUUAACUAUCUCCAAUGCUGUUUGUUAAGCAGCCAAAGCUUUAUCAGAGUGUUUAGUGAUUCUUUUUGGUAUCUAUCCUUGUCGAUCUUUCAAAGAGCAUUUGUUAGCUAUCUAUAAAUGGUUUAUUUCAUUUUUUCAUAAAUUUUAUUUGGAGUUUAUCUUAUUUUCUUUCCCUUUUCCUUGUGUAAUCUGCUAAAUGUUUGUGAGCUUCCUUCCCCUUAUACAUUUGGUCAACGUCACUAUGACGUGGAAGUGGCGUCGAGGCUCUUGGAUCAAAUGUUAAGAGGCAGUAGUGGAUUAAUAAACUGGGUGUUUUGGAACUUUUUGCAGAUCUCCAUCAAGAUCCCGCUCUCCAAAACCAUCUACGCAGAAGCGUGUGAGCAUGAGUCCCAAAAUCUCAAAAAGACUCAGUCCUACCAGAGACCGCAGC